AACGAACGCUGGCGGCAGGCCUAACACAUGCAAGUCGAACGCUGUAGCAAUACAGAGUGGCAGACGGGUGAGUAACGCGUGGGAACAUGCCCUUCGGUUCGGAAUAACUCAGGGAAACUUGAGCUAAUACCGGAUACGCCCUUAGGGGGAAAGAUUUAUUGCCGAAGGAUUGGCCCGCGUCCGAUUAGCUAGUUGGUGAGGUAAUGGCUCACCAAGGCGACGAUCGGUAGCUGGUCUGAGAGGAUGAUCAGCCACACUGGGACUGAGACACGGCCCAGACUCCUACGGGAGGCAGCAGUGGGGAAUAUUGGACAAUGGGCGCAAGCCUGAUCCAGCCAUGCCGCGUGAGUGAUGAAGGCCCUAGGGUUGUAAGGCUCUUUCGCCAGGGACGAUAAUGACGGUACCUGGAUAAGAAGCCCCGGCUAACUUCGUGCCAGCAGCCGCCGUAAUAC
rnacentral:rRNA from 1 species